AUUGAACGCUGGCGGCAGGCCUAACACAUGCAAGUCGAACGAUCCUUCGGGAUAGUGGCGGACGGGUGAGUAACACGUGGGAACGUGCCCUCUGGUUCGGAAUAACUCAGGGAAACUUGAGCUAAUACCGGAUGUGCCCUUCGGGGGAAAGAUUUAUCGCCAUUGGAGAGGCCCGCGUUGGAUUAGCUAGUUGGUGGGGUAAAGGCCCACCAAGGCUACGAUCCAUAGCUGGUCUGAGAGGAUGAUCAGCCACAAUGGGACUGAGACACGGCCCAGACUCCUACGGGAGGCAGCAGUGGGGAAUCUUGCGCAAUGGGCGAAAGCCUGACGCAGCCAUGCCGCGUGAAUGAUGAAGGUCUUAGGAUUGUAAAAUUCUUUCACCGGGGACGAUAAUGACGGUACCCGGAGAAGAAGCCCCGGCUAACUUCGUGCCAGCCGCCGCAGUAAGAC
rnacentral:rRNA from 1 species